rnacentral:rRNA from 1 species
GAUGAACGCUGGCGGCGUGCCUAAUACAUGCAAGUCGAGCGAACAGACGAGGAGCUUGCUCCUCUGAUGUUAGCGGCGGACGGGUGAGUAACACGUGGAUAACCUACCUAUAAGACUGGGAUAACUUCGGGAAACCGGAGCUAAUACCGGAUAACAUGUUGAACCGCAUGGUUCAACAGUGAAAGACGGUCUUGCUGUCACUUAUAGAUGGAUCCGCGCCGCAUUAGCUAGUUGGUAAGGUAACGGCUUACCAAGGCAACGAUGCGUAGCCGACCUGAGAGGGUGAUGGGCCACACUGGAACUGAGACACGGUCCAGACUCCUACGGGAGGCAGCAGUAGGGAAUCUUCCGGAAUGGGCGAAAGCCUGACGGAGCAACGCCGCGUGAGUGAAGAAGGUCUUCGGAUCGUAAAACUCUGUUAUUAGGGAAGAACAAAUGUGUAAGUAACUAUGCACGUCUUGACGGUACCUAAUCAGAAAGCCACGGCUAACUACGUG